GAUGAACGCUGGCGGCGUGCUUAACACAUGCAAGUCGAACGAUGAAGCCCAGCUUGCUGGGUGGAUUAGUGGCGAACGGGUGAGUAACACGUGAGCAACCUGCCCCUGACUCUGGGAUAAGCGCUGGAAACGGCGUCUAAUACUGGUUAUGUCCCGUCACCGCAUGGUGUGCGGGUGGAAAGAUUUUUCGGUUGGGGAUGGGCUCGCGGCCUAUCAGCUUGUUGGUGAGGUAAUGGCUCACCAAGGCGUCGACGGGUAGCCGGCCUGAGAGGGUGACCGGCCACACUGGGACUGAGACACGGCCCAGACUCCUACGGGAGGCAGCAGUGGGGAAUAUUGCACAAUGGGCGGAAGCCUGAUGCAGCAACGCCGCGUGAGGGAUGACGGCCUUCGGGUUGUAAACCUCUUUUAGCAGGGAAGAAGCGAAAGUGACGGUACCUGCAGAAAAAGCACCGGCUAACUACGUG
rnacentral:rRNA from 1 species